UCAGAGCCCUUUGUCUCCUCACAGCCCAGCGACCCCGUGCAGCUGGUGGUAGCAGGGGGAACCGACCCGACUCAGCUGGGAACGACGACAGUUCCCACCCGUCCGGGCUGCGCAGGGCCAGCAGCCCCCCCAAGGCGCCCGGAUUUCACCCACACCAACAUCGCCCGCCUGGCGCUGGGUGCCGGGGUCCUGCUCGUCCUGGGGCUGAUCCUGGCUGAGGCCUAUUACAGCCGCCCGAGGGAGGUGUCCUAGGAGCCUGGAUCCGGCCGUGUGGAGAAGAGCAUCUCCCCAGAGACAAGCCGCUUCCCCUCGGGGGCUGAGACGCCAGCACAACUCCCCCUGCCCCCAAACACCUCUGCCCCGGAGAAUCCCCCCCGACUGCUCCCACCCCGAUGGUCACACCCCAGGAUCGAACCCCGACCCCCAGCCUAGAGGGUGCUGGGCUGGACUCACUAGACCCCACUGACCUCCCAGAGCCAGGCAGAGAACCCAGGAGUCCUGGCUCGCAGGUGGAUGCAAUAGAUAAGGCGGCUGCUGAUGACGUGUCCUGCCAUCCGGACUAGGGGGUUCAGGAGCAGUGUGGGGUACAAACCGACCCCUAGAUGCAGGCGGCUUGUAUUUGGGGAAGAGGGAAAGUGGGCAGGAAAGAGUGGACGGGAUCAGUUGCAAGCGUGAGGUGCCGGACGUCAGGCGAGGCCACCCCCUGGCAGUAGCACCAGCUGCUCUGGAGGGGGGAGCUACUGAAGAACACCACUAGGGGGAGCCCUGGCUCCAUGGAGGGGCCUCCACCAGCCAACGUAUCCCCUGGCUAUGUACAGCCCCGUGCACCCUGCCUGAGCUGAGGGGGUGUCACUCCUUGUCCCAGGGGACGGUCCCGGCCAGCUCCUGCGGCUGCUCUUGGUAAACCUGGGCAAAGCGCUUGCUCUGCACCGUGGUGAAAUGGUCCUUCCAGUCACUGACGACUCCUGCGAAGCAGAGACACUGGGUGGGACAGCGAGUCUGUGUGGCGGGGGCACCCCCUGCUGGGAGCGGUGGAUCUGGGGAAGUGGGGAGCCCCCCACCCCACACCCAGUGCUCCCACAGCGCCCCCCCAGUGGGAGAGUAUUUCCAUAGCAGCUGUGCCAUGUGCCAGAAGGUGGGAUUAGGGUAUAGGGCGCUGGGCUGGGGGGUCAGGCCUCUUGGUUCUAUCUCUGGCUCCAGGAGGGGAGUGGGGUCUAGUGGUUAGAGCUGUGGGGCGGCUGGGAGCCAGGACUCCAGGGUUCUAGCUGACGCUCUGGGAGGGGAGUGGGUGACUCCAGAUUGCCUUCUGGGAAGCUGGGAUCAGAAUCUAGCCCUGACCCCACUGCAGUGAGGGGGGCCCCCAUCCCACCUCCCCCCAGCCUUUGGGCCAAGGGCAAGUCCCCCUAGCAAUAGGCCCCUGUCUGGGGGGGGGCCCGUGGGGGGGAGCCAGUCCCGGACCAGGCGUCCCUUUUCCUUCCCAAUUGUCCUACGAGCCGGCGGUGCCAGCGCUGGGCAGGGGCUGCGGGGCCGUGGGGCAGCGUGGAGGGAGCUGCGGGUGCUGCUGGGAGCCAGGGGAAAUGCCCCACUUGCCCCAAAACUCAUCAGCCGCCCCUCCCUUUGGGCAGCUCUGGCUGCCCCCUUCUUCUGCCCCUUUCACAGUCCCCCCAAACGGUGCCACCUACCCCCAUUCACCAGCUACACCCCCAGGCCCAGCCUGGCUUCACACGCCCAGCUGCUCUGUCUGCUUUGGGGCCCCUCGUACAACCCACAACCCGGUGAGCGCCCACUGAGGGCUCACCCCCUGUUUAAAGGGGAACUGCCCUAUUUCUACACGCCGCAGAGCCGCCUCGCACAGCAGGACGGGGAUGUCUCCCCGUGUGUGACCAAGGGGCAAUGCCCUGUAAUAUUAUUAUGAAGCCUCAGCGUGCCUCAGUUUCCCUCUGUCCUUCGCCUGGCUACUGGGGUUGGGGGAGGAGUAGAGUUACAGCUGCUCUUGGGGGCAGUGCGGGCCCGGAGGUGUGGGUGGCA